rnacentral:rRNA from 1 species
GAUGAACGCUGGCGGCGUGCCUGAUACAUGCAAGUCGAGCGGAAAGGCCUCUUCGGAGGUACUCGAGCGGCGGACGGCUGAGUAACACGUAGGAACAUACCCCAGAGUGAGGGAUAAGCACCGGAAACGGUGUCUAAUACCGCAUGUGCUCUAAGGAGUAAAGCUUCGGCGCUUUGGGAAUGGCCUGCGCAUGAUUAGCUUGUUGGUGAGGUAAUGGCUCACCAAGGCGACGAUCAUUAGCUGGUCUGAGAGGAUGAUCAGCCAGACUGGGACUGAGACACGGCCCAGACUCCUACGGGAGGCAGCAGUAGGGAAUUUUCCACAAUGGGCGAAAGCCUGAUGGAGCAACGCCGCGUGCAGAAUGAAUGCCUUAGGGUUGCAAACUGCUUUUAUAUGUGACGAAUAUGACGGUAGCAUAUGAAUAAGGAUCGGCUAACUCCGUGCCAGCAGCCGCCGUAA